rnacentral:rRNA from 1 species
AUAUUCCACAAUGAGCGAAAGCUUGAUGGAGCGACACAGCGUGCACGAUGAAGGUCUUCGGAUUGUAAAGUGCUGUUAUAGGGAAAGAACACCUGGUUGAGGAAAUGCUUCCAGGCUGACGGUACCCUGUCAGAAAGCGAUGGCUAACUAUGUGCCAGCAGCCGCGGUAAUACAUAGGUCGCAAGCGUUAUCCGGAAUUAUUGGGCGUAAAGCGUUCGUAGGCUGUUUAUUAAGUCUGGAGUCAAAUCCCAGGGCUCAACCCUGGCUCGCUUUGGAUACUGGUAAACUAGAGUUAGAUAGAGGUAAGCGGAAUUCCAUGUGAAGCGGUGAAAUGCGUAGAUAUAUGGAAGAACACCAAAGGCGAAGGCAGCUUACUGGGUCUAUACUGACGCUGAGGGACGAAAGCGUGGGGAGCAAACAGGAUUAGAUACCCUGGUAGUCCACGCCGUAAACGAUGAUCAUUAGUCGGUGGAGAGUUCACUGACGCAGCUAACGCAUUAAAUGAUCCGCCUGAGUAGUAUGCUCGCAAGAGUGAAACUUAAAGGAAUUGACGGGGACCCGCACAAGCGGUGGAGCAUGUGGUUUAAUUUGAAGAUACGCGGAGAACCUUACCCACUCUUGACAUCCUUCG